GACGAACGCUGGCGGCGUGCUUAACACAUGCAAGUCGAACGGAGAAUUUUAUUUCGGUGAAAUUCUUAGUGGCGAACGGGUGAGUAACGCGUAGACAACCUACCUCUCAGAUGGGGACAACAUCGCGAAAGCGGUGCUAAUACCGAAUGAUGUAACUUUUCUGCAUGGAAGAGUUACCAAAGGCGGCCUCUAUUUAUAAGCUGUCACUGAGAGAUGGGUCUGCGUCUGAUUAGCUAGUUGGCGGGGUAAUGGCCCACCAAGGCGACGAUCAGUAGCCGGUCUGAGAGGAUGAACGGCCACAGUGGGACUGAGACACGGCCCAAACUCCUACGGGAGGCAGCAGUGGGGAAUCUUCCGCAAUGGACGAAAGUCUGACGGAGCAACGCCGCGUGAGUGAAGAAGGUUUUCGGAUCGUAAAGCUCUGUUGUUUGAGACGAACGUGCAAUCUUUGAAAAGGAAUUGUAAUGACGGUAUUAAACGAGAAAGCCACGGCUAACUACGUGCCAGCCGCCGCCGUAA
rnacentral:rRNA from 1 species